GAGUUUGAUUCUGGCUCAGAAUGAACGUGGGCGGCGUGGAUUAGGCAUGCAAGUCGAACGCGAAAGUAGCAAUACUAGUAGCGUGGCGAAAGGGGCAGUAAUACAUAGGUAACCUACCUUCGGGUCUGGGACAUGCGGGUGAAAACCCGUGCAAUACUGGACGCCAUUACGGGGGGGCAUCCUCCUGUACUGAAAGGUUACGCCCGAAGGGGGACCUAUGCUCUAUCAGCUAGUUGGUAAGGUAACGGCUUACCAAGGCGAUGACGGAUAGGGGGUGUGAGAGCACGACCCCCGUCACUGGCACUGAGAACUGGCCAGACUCCUACGGGAGGCUGCAGUCGAGAAUCUUCGGCAAUGGGCGAAAGCCUGACCGAGCGACGCCGCGUGGAGGAUGAAGGCCUUCGGGUUGUAAACUCCUGUUGGGGGGGAACAAAUCAAUGAGUGAACCCCUGAGGAAGCACGGGCUAAGUUCGUGCCAGCAGCCGCGGUAAGACGAACCGUGCGAACGUUAUUCGGAUUUAUUGGGCUUAAAGAGUGCGUAGGUGGCAGUGUAAGUCGGAGGUGAAAUACUAUCGGCUCAACCGUGGAAUUGCCUUCGAUACUGCAUUGCUUGAGGGGGAUAGGGGCAAGUGGAACUUCCGGUGGAGCGGUGAAAUGUGUUGAGAUCGGAAGGAACGCCAGUGGCGAAAGCGACUUGCUGGGUCUUCUCUGACACUGAGGCACGAAAGCUAGGGGAGCAAACGGGAUUAGAUACCCCGGUAGUCCUAGCCGUAAACGAUGGGUACUGGGUAGAAAGUGUUCCGAUGGCACCUUCUGCCGAAGCGAAAGUGUUUAGUACCCCGCCUGGGGAGUAUGGUCGCAAGGCUGAAACUCAAAUGAAUUGACGGGG
rnacentral:rRNA from 1 species